rnacentral:rRNA from 1 species
CCUACGGGAGGCAGCAGUGGGGAAUUUUGGACAAUGGGGGCAACCCUGAUCCAGCAAUGCCACGUGAGUGAAGAAGGCCUUCGGGUUGUAAAGCUCUUUUGUCAGGGAAGAAACGGCGGUUUCUAAUACAGAUCGCUAAUGACGGUACCUGAAGAAUAAGCACCGGCUAACUACGUGCCAGCAGCCGCGGUAAUACGUAGGGUGCAAGCGUUAAUCGGAAUUACUGGGCGUAAAGCGUGCGCAGGCGGUUAUAUAAGUCAGAUGUGAAAUCCCCGGGCUCAACCUGGGAACUGCAUUUGAGACUGUAUGGCUAGAGUGUGUCAGAGGGGGGUAGAAUUCCACGUGUAGCAGUGAAAUGCGUAGAUAUGUGGAGGAAUACCGAUGGCGAAGGCAGCCCCCUGGGAUAACACUGACGCUCAUGCACGAAAGCGUGGGGAGCAAACAGGAUUAGAUACCCUGGUAGUCCACGCCCUAAACGAUGUCUACUAGUUGUCGGGUCUUAAUUGACUUGGUAACGCAGCUACGCGUGAGUAGACCGCCGUCGGGUAGGUACGGUCGCGAGAAGUUAAACGUAACGAAAGAAGUAGUACGGCGUGAGACGUAGACCGACGGACGACGACGAGGGAGGAGGG